UUGGAGGGCAAGUCUGGUGCCAGCAGCCGCGGUAAUUCCAGCUCCAAUAGCGUAUAUUAAAGUUGCUGCAGUUAAAAAGCUCGUAGUUGAAUUUCGGGGUUAGUAGGUUGGUCAUGCCUCUGGUAUGUACUGGUCUCACUGAUUCCUCCUUCCUGAUGAACCGUAAUGCCAUUAAUUUGGUGUUGCGGGGAAUUUGGACUGUUACUUUGAAAAAAUUAGAGUGUUUAAAGCAAGUUAACGCUUGAAUACAUUAGCAUGGAAUAAUGAAAUAGGACGUUCGAUCCUAUUUUGUUGGUUUCUAGGAUUGACGUAAUGAUUAAUAGGGAUAGUUGGGGGCAUUAGUAUUCAAUUGUCAGAGGUGAAAUUCUUGGAUUUAUUGAAGACUAACUACUGCGAAAGCAUUUGCCAAGGAUGUUUUCAUUAAUCAAGAACGAAAGUUAGGGGAUCGAAGACGAUCAGAUACCGUCGUAGUCUUAACCAUAAACUAUGCCGACUAGGGAUCGGAUGAUGUUAUUUUUAAUGACUCAUUCGGCGCCUUACGGGAAAC
rnacentral:rRNA from 1 species